AUGGCGAUGUACCCUGCGUCUCCCGACCUCCUGGGUCAGAGCCCUUUAUGGAGUGUCUUCUCCUUCUGGGAGCCCACCCCUGUGUGCCCAGCUGAUAUGAUAUCAGGGUUGAUGUCAGGGACUGACAUCAUGGGCACCACACACCACCCCCACUCCCCUACGCCCAGGAUCGUGGUGAGGUUUCAGUCUAGAAGACAGCCCUGGCACCUCCCGCCUGAUAGCUCUAAACUGUGGAAAACUGGAGCAGCACUAAUUAAAGUUGAGAAAGUGGAACAUGAGGCUUCCACUGGAGGCCUACAUGCUGCCGCUGGGGCCGCCACCCUGUCUCUAGUAAUCCCUGAGAAGUUCCAGCACAUCUGGCGAGUACUCAACACCAACAUCGAUGGGCGGCGGAAAAUUGCCUUUGCCUUCACUGCAAUUAAGGGUAUGGGGCGAAGAUAUGCUCAUGUGGUGUUAAGGAAAGCAGACAUCGACCUCGUCAAGAGGGCAGGAGAGCUCACCGAGGAUGAGGUAGAACGUGUGAUCACCAUUAUGCAGAAUCCACGCCAGACAAGAUCCCAGACUGGUUCUUAAAUAGACAGAAGGACGUGAAGGACGGAAAAUACAGCCAGGUCCUGGCCAACGGUCUAGACAACAAACUCCGUGAAGACCUGGAACGACUGAAGAAGAUUCGGGCCCACAGAGGGCUGCGCCACUUCCGGGGACUUCGCAUCCGAGGCCAGCACACCAAGACCACAGGCCGCCGUGGUUGCACUGUGGGUGUGUCCAAGAAGAAAUAAUGUGUGGGCGUUGUGUUAAUAAAUAGUUUAUGCAGUUA